rnacentral:ncRNA from 1 species
UGAAUGACUGUGAAGAUGAAAAGUACGCAGUGAACCAUCUCCAGAGAGAGGGCUUUCGGGAAAACCUGAGCUGAAAGAGCCCUUAGCCUGUGAAGCUGCGGAAGUUCCCAUCGGAGUCGGCUUUCUGAACAGAGCAGUAGGAAAGCCCGUUUCAUGCUCGUUACGCAUCAGAGUGCCUGUGAUAGCAGGAAUUUGGGUGGUACCGCGAGCCUUCGUCCCUUUG